rnacentral:rRNA from 1 species
CCCUUAGAUGUUCUCGGCCGCACACGCGCUACACUGAAAGAGGCAACGUGUUUGCCUGAUUCGAAAGAAUUGGGUAACCCCCUAAUCUCUUUCGUGCUGGGGAUUGAGGUUUGCAAUUAUCCUUCAUGAACGAGGAAUUCCCAGUAAGUGCGAGUCAUUAUCUCGCGCUGACUACGUCCCUGCCCUUUGUACACACCACCCGUCGCUACUACCGAUUGAAUGAUUUAGUGAGGACUUCGGACUGAGUCCAAUGCGGCUUUCGGGCUGCGUUGGUAUUUCGGAAAGAUGUCCAAACUGUAUCAUUUAGAGGAAGUAAAAGUCGUAACA